UACAGAGGUCCCAAGCGUUGUUCGGAUUUACUGGGCGUAAAGGGUGCGUAGGUGGUUGGGUAAGUUUGAUGUGAAAUCUCCGAGCUUAACUCGGAAAUGGCAUUGAAUACUAUUCGGCUAGAGGUUUGGAGGGGGGACUGGAAUUCUUGGUGUAGCAGUGAAAUGCGUAGAUAUCAAGAGGAACACCAGUGGCGAAGGCGAGUCCCUGGACAACACCUGACACUGAGGCACGAAAGCUAGGGGAGCAAACAGG
rnacentral:rRNA from 1 species